rnacentral:rRNA from 1 species
CCUACGGGGGGCAGCAGUAGGGAAUAUUGCGCAAUGGUCUAACGACUGACGCAGCAACGCCGCGUGGGUGAUGAUAGCUCUACGGAGUGUAAAACCCUGUUAGAGGUGAAGAACAAGCAGGCUUCGAAUAGUAGUCUGCUUUGACGGUAGCCCCAGAGAAAGCACCGGCUACCUCCGUGCCAGCAGCCGCGGUAAUACGGGGGGUGCAAGCGGUGUCCGGAAUAACUGGGCGUAAAGGGUGUGUAGGUGGAACGUUAAGUUAGGCGUGAAAUCCCAUGGCUUAACCAUGGGCUUGCGUCUGAAACUGUCGUUGUUGAGUCACGCAGAGGUAAGUGGAAUUCCUGGUGUAGCGGUGAAAUGCUAAGAUAUCAGGAAGAACACCGGUGGCGAAGGCGGCUUACUGGGCGUUGACUGACACUGAGACACGAAAGCGUGGGUAGCAAACAGGAUUAGAUACCCUGGUAGUC